ACCGCUGCUCUCGGUCUUUUGGCUAAGAUCAAGUGCAGUAUCUGUUCUUAUCAGUUUAAUAAAAAUAAAUAAAUAAAUUCAGCGCCGCAAUUUCAAAAUCAGUUCACGACAUGGAUGUGUCUUUGGCAUCAGCACUCUGACACAUAUUUGUGUCAUCCACGAGAACACUUCAAUGUAGAAGGUCGUAGCAGAGA